rnacentral:rRNA from 1 species
GAAUUUUGGACAAUGGGCGACAGCCCGACCCAGCACUGCCGCGUGCAGGAUGAAGGCCCUCGGGUUGUUAACUGCUUUUGUACGGAACGAAAAGCUUUGGGUUAAUAUCCUGGAGUCAUGACGGUACCGUCAGACUAAGCACCGCCUAACUACCUUCCAGCCGCCACGGUCAUACGUUGGGUGCAAGCGUUAAUCGGAAUUUCUGGGCGUAAAGCGUACGCAGGCGGUUUUGUAAGACAGAGGUGAAAUCCCCGGGCUCAACCUGGGAACUGCCUUUGUGACUGCAAGGCUAGAGUACGGCAGAGGGGGGUGGAAUUCCGCGUGUAGCAGUGAAAUGCGUAGAUAUGCGGAGGAACACCGAUGGCGAAGGCAACCCCCUGGGCCUGUACUGACGCUCAUGCACGAAAGCGUGGGGAGCAAACA